rnacentral:rRNA from 1 species
CGGACGGGUGAGUAAUGUCUGGGAAACUGCCUGAUGGAGGGGGAUAACUACUGGAAACGGUAGCUAAUACCGCAUAACGUCGCAAGACCAAAGAGGGGGACCUUCGGGCCUCUUGCCAUCGGAUGUGCCCAGAUGGGAUUAGCUAGUAGGUGGGGUAACGGCUCGCCUAGGCGACGGUCCCUAGCUGGUCUGAGAGGAUGACCAGCCACACUGGAACUGAGACACGGUCCAG